rnacentral:rRNA from 1 species
UACGAAGGGGGCUAGCGUUGCUCGGAAUCACUGGGCGUAAAGGGCACGUAGGCGGCCAUUCAAGUCGGGGGUGAAAGCCUGUGGCUCAACCACAGAAUUGCCUUCGAUACUGUUUGGCUUGAGACCGGAAGAGGUAAGUGGAACUGCGAGUGUAGAGGUGAAAUUCGUAGAUAUUCGCAAGAACACCAGUGGCGAAGGCGGCUUACUGGACUGGUACUGACGCUGAUGCGCGAAAGCGUGGGGAGCAAACAGGG